GGAACAUCAGCUCAGUGGGAAGAGCGCCUGUUGUGGGAAGUCAUCGGUUCGAGUCCGGUAUGUUCCA
rnacentral:tRNA from 1 species